rnacentral:rRNA from 2 species
AUCUUUCUUUUUUAAAGACCUUCUUUGAAGGUAUGCUUAAGGAGGGGCUUGCGACACAUUAGUUAGUUGGUAGGGUAAAGGCCUACCAAGACUAUGAUGUGUAGCUGGACUGAGAGGUUGAACAGCCACAUUGGGACUGAACACCGCCCAAACUCCUACGGGAGGCAGCACCAGGGAAUUUUCGGCAAUGGAGGAAACUCUGACCGAUCAACCCCGCGUGAACGAUGAAGUACCUCGGUAUGUAAAGUUCUUUUAUUAAGGAAUAAAAAACAGUGGAAAAACUCCCUUGACGGUACUUAAUGAAUAAGCCCCGGCUAAUUAUGUGCCAGCAGCCGCGAGUAAUACAUAAGGGGCGAGCGUUAUCCUGGAAUUAUUGGGCCUCAAAGGGUGCGUAGGCUGUCUUAAUAAGUUUAUAGUUUAAUUUUCAGCGCUUAACGCUGUUGUGCUAUAGAAACUGUUUUACUAGAGUGAGAUAGAGGCAAGCGGAAUUCCAUGUGUAGCGGUAAAAUGCGUAAAUAUAUGGAGGAACACCAGAGGCGUAGGCGGCUUGCUGGGUCUUUACUGACGCUGAGGCACGAAAGCGUGGGGAGCAAACAGGAUUAGAUACCCUGGUAGUCCACGCCGUAAACGAUGAGUACUAAGUGUCGGGUAAAACCGGUACUGAAGUUAACACAUUAAGUACUCCGCCUGAGGAGUACGUACGCAAGUAUGAAACUUAAAGGAAUUGACGGGACUCCGCACAAGCGGUGGAUCAUGUUGUUUAAUUCGAAGAUACACGAAAAACCUUACCAGGUCUUGACAUUUUCUUGCGAAGUUAUAGAAAUAUAAUGGAGGUUAUCAGGAAAACAGGUGGUGCAUGGUUGUCGUCAGCUCGUGUCGUGAGAUGUUAGGUUAAGUCCUAAAACGAGCGCAACCCUUGUCGUUAAUUGCCAGCAUGUAAUGAUGGGGACUUUAACGAGACUGCCAAUGAAAAAUUGGAGGAAGGUGGGGAUUACGUCAAAUCAUCAUGCCCCUUAUGAUCUGGGCUACAAACGUGAUACAAUGGUUGAUACAAAGAGUAGCUGAAACGCGAGUUCUUAGCCAAUCUCACAAAAUCAAUCUCAGUUCGGAUUGAAGUCUGCAACUCGACUUCAUGAAAGUUGGAAUCGCUAGUAAUCGUAAUCUGCAGU